rnacentral:rRNA from 1 species
GACGAACGCUGGCGGCGUGCUUAACACAUGCAAGUCGAACGGAAAGGCCCUGCUUUUGUGGGGUGCUCGAGUGGCGAACGGGUGAGUAACACGUGAGUAACCUGCCCUUGACUUUGGGAUAACUUCAGGAAACUGGGGCUAAUACCGGAUAGGAGCUCCUGCUGCAUGGUGGGGGUGGGAAAGUUUCGGCGGUUGGGGAUGGACUCGCGGCUUAUCAGCUUGUUGGUGGGGUAGUGGCUUACCAAGGCUUUGACGGGUAGCCGGCCUGAGAGGGUGACCGGCCACAUGGGGACUGAGAUACGGCCCAGACUCCUACGGGAGGCAGCAGGGGGGAAUAUUGCACAAUGGGCGGAAGCCUGAUGCAGCAACGCCGCGUGCGGGAUGACGGCCUGCGGGUUGUAAAACGCUUUCGCCUGUGACGAAGCGUGAGUGACGGUAAUGGGUAAAGAAGCACCGGCUAACUACGUG